rnacentral:lncRNA from 7 species
UUAUAGAAUGCCUGACCCGGAUUUCACCGUCAGAGAUGUGAAGCUAUUAGUGGGAAGCCGUCGAAUAGUGGAUGUGAUGGAUGUGAACACGCAAAAAGGUGUGGAAAUGAGCAUGUCCCAGUUUGUGAGGUACUAUGAAACACCAGAGGCCCAGCGUGAAAAACUCUACAAUGUCAUCAGCUUGGAGUUCAGUCACACAAAGCUGGAGAACAUUGUCAAGCGUCCCAAUGUGGUGGACUUAGUCGACUGGGUGGAUAAUAUGUGGCCACAGCAUUUGAAGGAGAGACAGACAGAUGCUACCAAUGCUAUUUCAGAGAUGAAAUACCCCAAAGUGAAAAAGUACUGUUUGAUGAGUGUGAAAGGAUGCUUCACUGAUUUCCAUAUUGAUUUUGGAGGCACUUCAGUGUGGUAUCACGUUUUCCGUGGGGGGAAGAUCUUCUGGCUGAUUCCACCUACUCUGCAGAAUCUAGAACUUUAUGAAGAAUGGGUUCUCUCAGGAAAGCAAAGUGAUAUCUUUCUGGGAGACAGAGUGGAACGAUGCCAAAGAAUUGAACUGAAACAAGGCUAUACAUUCUUCAUUCCUUCAGGAUACAUGCGGUUUAUACUCCAGUAGAUUCUCUGGUGUUUGGUGGAAAUAUCCUGCAUAGCUUUAAUGUUCCCAUGCAGCUUCGCAUCUAUGAAAUUGAGGACAGAACAAGGACACGUCCGUUCUGUAUCGCCUGUUUGCCCGCUGAACUUUUUAAACACAUCCCCUUUUGCACAGAAGCCUAUUGCCCCCGCAGACCUUUGUGCCAGUAUUUCUGGUAACCCCCUGCUGACUGUUUCUCUUUGCACACUGGCAAUGGACAUCUAAGAAUGGAGAGCUAAUGGGACUGAGAUGGUUCUGCUGUCCACAGUUGCACUGAGAAAGCUGCAGAGAUGCUGCUAAUGAAACAGCAUCUUCUGUGCUUAGCAGGAUUUUGUUCUACAGUGUCUCAAUAUAGUGCAAAAUGUCAUGGGACGGAGUCUGGGUUGCGACAUUAGACUGAAGGUUGUGAUGUUCAUCUGGGUGUAGCAUUUGCCUCCUAGAAAGGGUAUGACAUCCUGGAGAAGGUGACCAUGCAAACGCUGUUCUUACUGACUGUAAAUAAGAACCAACAGUGCUGGGUACGUGUACUGCAGCUGCUCAAAGGGAAGGUGCGUUGUUGUCAUGAAGGAUACUGGCACUGGCAACUUGAAGGGAAAAGAAAUUAUUGCCUUUCAUGUCUUUGGGGAAGAUGGCAAGCAGAUGCUUUUUUUCCUGGUGUAGUAGAAGAGCUGACAUCUUGUUCCCAUUGGACUUAGCAACCCAAAGCCACAUGUUUUACUAGAGUUGGAACUGGUUAGUAGUGCUUCAUGUCAGGCCUUUCUGGGGAAACUGGAUGCAGCUUUGAUCUCCAAAGCUUUUAUAGCAGGAGGCAGAUUGCCCCAUUACAGUUAAGUACUUCUGUAACCUUUAGGAACCUGCCAGACAGUUAACUGAAAUGCCUUUGAAAAGUCACUGGUACCUUGAUCCUAUGGGAAGGUUCCCAGUGUGACAUUUGCCUCUUUAAAAAUGUCCUAUCACUGAUUUUUGUGAAGGGAUACUGCAACAUUUGGAGAUCCCAAAUCAGACCUUGACUUGUUUUAAUUUUCUUUAAAGUCCGAUGUAGUUCUUUAUCAUUUUCCCUUCAAGAAAUACUUCAGGGUAUCAAAAAAAGGCCAAUGAAAGCCAACAGCCCAGAACUUCCCCAACUUCACAGUAACUAUUUCAGCUCCUGUACUGUACUGUGCUAGCAGUGUGAAUUGGGCAGUCCUGUAUCUCUGUUUGCAGACUUGUGCUUUUAGGCAGACUUACUAUAACAAAGCUGUGUGUACAGUCGAAGAAUACCAAGAGUUCAAGACUAACAAAAUAUAAACCUUGCAGUUAAAGUUUCAUAAGAGAUGGGGACAUCAGUACUGCCACUUGGAAAUAACACAUACCCACCCACCCCCCCC